rnacentral:rRNA from 1 species
AUUGAACGCUGGCGGCAGGCCUAACACAUGCAAGUCGAACGAGUGGCGGACGGGUGAGUAAUGUCUGGGAAACUGCCUGAUGGAGGGGGCUAACUACUGGAAACGGUAGCUAAUACCGCAUACCAUCAGAUGUGCCCAGAUGGGAUUAGCUAGUUGGUGGGGUAAAGGCGCACCAAGGCGACGAUCCCUAGCUGGUCUGAGAGGAUGACCAUCAACACUGGAACUGAGACACGGUCCAGACUCCGACGUGAGGCAGCAGUGGGGAAUGUUGAACAAUGGGCGAAAGCCUGAUGCAUCCAGGCCGCGUGUGUGAAGAAGGCGUUCGGGUUGUAAAGUAAUUUCAGCGGGGAGGCGUUACCCGCAGAAGAAGCACCGGCUAACUCCGUGCCAGCAGCCGCGGUAAUAC